rnacentral:antisense_RNA from 1 species
CGGAACGUGCACGCCCAGGUCGGCUCCGCCGCGGUCAGACACUCGUCGCCGAAGUACGCGCCGUCCGCCAGCGCGCCCAGCACCGUUUCCCCGCCGUACGGGCCCGUCCCCACCUGGUCUACGCGCCCGUGCGCCAGCAGGAACACCCGCUCGACGGUCGACCCGGACUCGGCCAGCACCGCGCCCGCCGGGUAUUCGCGCUGCUCGCAGCGCCGGGCCAGCUCGGUCAGCACGGCCUCGUCGGCAUAGUUCCGCAGCGCCGGCAGCUCACCCAGUUCGGCCGGGAUCACCUCGACCCGGCCCGCGGUCUGCACGAAGGUGACCCGCCCGUCGCCCACCGCGUAGCUCAGCCGCCGGUUCACCCGGUACGUACCGCCCCGCACCUGCACCCACGGCAACAUCCGCAGCAGCCAUCGGGAGCUGAUCUCCUGCAUCUGCGGGACGGACUUGGUCGUCGUCGCCAGAUUCCGCGCCGCCGCGGUGUCAAGGCUUUGUUGUUCCCGU